GACGAACGCUGGCGGCGUGCUUAACACAUGCAAGUCGAACGGAAAGGCCCUGCUUUUGUGGGGUGCUCGAGUGGCGAACGGGUGAGUAACACGUGAGUAACCUGCCCUUGACUUUGGGAUAACUUCAGGAAACUGGGGCUAAUACCGGAUAGGAGCUCCUGCUGCAUGGUGGGGGUUGGAAAUUUUCGGCGGUUGGGGAUGGACUCGCGGCUUAUCAGCUUGUUGGUGGGGUAGUGGCUUACCAAGGCUUUGACGGGUAGCCGGCCUGAGAGGGUGACCGGCCACAUUGGGACUGAGAUACGGGCCAGACUCCUACGGGAGGCAGCAGUGGGGAAUAUUGCACAAUGGGCGGAAGCCUGAUGCAGCAACGCCGCGUGCGGGAUGACGGCCUUCGGGUUGUAAACCGCUUUCGCCUGUGACGAAGCGUGAGUGACGGUAAUGGGUAAAGAAGCACCGGCUAACUACGUG
rnacentral:rRNA from 1 species